AUACGGAGGACGCGAGCGUUAUCCGGAUUCAUUGGGUUUAAAGGGUGCGCAGGCGGCCGUGCAAGUCAGCGGUGAAAGCCCGGGGCUCAACCCCGGAAGUGCCGUUGAUACUGCAUGGCUGGAAUGCGGUCGAGGCGGGCGGAACGUGGCGUGUAGCGGUGAAAUGCGUAGAUAUGGCACAGAACGCCGAUAGCGGAGGCAGCUCGCCAGGCCUGCAUUGACGCUCGGGCACGAAAGCGUGGGGAUCGAACAGGAUUAGAUACCCUGGUAGUCCACGCCGUAAACGAUGGGCGCUCGUCGUCGGCGGCAGACAGUCGGCGGCCAAGCGAAAGCGAUAAGCGCCCCACCUGGGGAGUACGGUCGCAAGGCUGAAACUCAAAUGAAUUGACGGGG
rnacentral:rRNA from 1 species